rnacentral:rRNA from 1 species
CUCUAUGGCCAUGCCACCCUGAACAUGUCUGAUCCCGUCUGAUAGUGAAAGCUAAGCAGGGUUAGGCUGGUUAGAACUCGGGUGGGAGACCACCUAGGAAGACCAAGUGCUGUAGGCA